GACGAACGCUGGCGGCGUGCUUAACACAUGCAAGUCGAACGGAAAGGCCCUGCUUUUGUGGGGUGCUCGAGUGGCGAACGGGUGAGUAACACGUGAGUAACCUGCCCUUGACUUUGGGAUAACUUCAGGAAACUGGGGCUAAUACCGGAUAGGAGCUCCUGCUGCAUGGUGGGGGUUGGAAAGUUUCGGCGGUUGGGGAUGGACUCGCGGCUUAUCAGCUUGUUGGUGGGGUAGUGGCUUACCAAGGCUUUGACGGGUAGCCGGCCUGAGAGGGUGACCGGGCACAAUGGGACUGAGGUACGGCGCAGAAGCCUACGGGAGGCAGCAGUGGGGAGUAUUGCACAACGGGCGGAAGCCUGAUGCAGCAACCUCGCGAGCGGGAUGACGGCCUUCGGGUUGUAAACCGCUUUGGCCUGUGACGAAGCGGGAGUGACGGUAAUGGGUAAAGAAGCACCGGCUAACUACGUG
rnacentral:rRNA from 1 species